CCCAGAGUGACCUAAGCUCUCUGAAAUAACAAUCCCGUUGUCAAGUCCCAACGUGAAAGUCACAGUGAGGGUUGAAUGCAGAUAGCCCUCUGGCCAUACACAGAGCCUCUGGUGUGUUUAGAUUAAGCUGUUUUAUUUUCUUCAGGGAUGUUGUAUCAUCCUUCACUUCCGCUGUUUUUCCAGGGUCGCUCACUUCUGAGCUUCUGAGGCGUCAAAGCAAGGAGGCUGGACAAGCAACCACACCAGUGGGUCUCAGAGCACAGGAAAGACCCUUCUGCCAUGGAAGCACCACGCACCUCCCUGCAUAGACAAAGCGCUACAAAAGGGGAGUUAUGAUGAGCACCUCUUCAAGCUGUCAGCUGUCAGUGGAGUGUUUUCUCUUUCUACUUUGGGGUGGUAUUCCAAACUGGGAGCUACAGGAAAAGGAAGUUAGCUGAAUCUUACCAUUAUCGCUGAGAACCCUUAGAACUGCAACUAAAACUGCGUUGUUGUAUCAUGCCAUUCGAAGGAGAACUGAGUCCAUCUGUAUCCACUAAUUUUUAAAGUCAACAGGCCAGCAGUACCCAGUUAACCGAGAUGUCAACACUGUGGAGUUGUAGGUCAUAUUUCAUCAUCUAGAAGGAUACACUGCUGCCAGGUUUGCAGUUUUCCAU
ensembl:lncRNA